UACGGAGGAUGCGAGCGUUAUCCGGAUUUAUUGGGUUUAAAGGGUGCGUAGGCGGCUUUUUAAGUCAGCGGUGAAAUUUUGCAGCUUAACUGUAACAGUGCCGUUGAUACUGGGGAGCUAGGAUUUGGUUGCUGUGGGUGGAAUGUGUGGUGUAGCGGUGAAAUGCUUAGAGAUCACACAGAAUAUCGAUUGCGAAGGCAGCUCACAAAGCCAAGAUUGACGCUGAGGCACGAAAGCGUGGGGAUCGAACAGGAUUA
rnacentral:rRNA from 1 species